GGCCAGUUAGCUCAGUGGUUUGAGUACGGUGCUGACAACAAUGGCCGACACCAAGGUCGCGGGUUCGAUUCCCGCUCGGUCCC
rnacentral:tRNA from 1 species